UUUAAAAAAAAUCUGAAACCCUAACCUAUUGUUCUCUCUAUCUCUUCUCCCUUUCUCUCUACCCUUUCUCGAACUUCUGAUUUGAGCUUCAACCUACUGCGAUUGCUUGAGUAGGCCCAAGCGAUCGCUGAGUCGUUGACCGAGAGGAUUCUGAGCAAGCAUUGUUCAUCGGUCUCUCUCCUUCUCUCUCUUCCUCACCUCACUAACACCGGCCGACCUUGAAGCUCCACGACAAACUCGCAAGUCGCGCCUCGCCACCUCCUCGCAAGCCAUUGCUGCCUCAUCCUGUCGCGAGCCGUUGCUACCUCCUCCUCCAUGAGACUGGAGAUGGAAAUUUCGACUAACAAGACCACCGCUGAUAAUGAGUUUGCAUGUAAGGUAUCAUCGACCGAAGUAUGCUCUAAGAAGUCAAGGUCUGAGGUUUGGGAUCAUUUUCAUAAGGGCAAAGAUGAGAAAAAUGGAAAUGAUGUUUCCAUUUGUGAUUACUGCAAUUCACCUCUUGCUUAUUGUUUUGAUUGAGGUAUUUCAUCAAUGUGGAAUCAUUUGAAAAUUUGCUCAAAAUAUCCCCAAAGUCUUGACAAAAAGUAAAACUUGAUAUCAUCAUUUUCUCAAUCUGAGUGUCAAAUCAAUCACCUCUUAGAAAUAUGAUGAAGAUUAUUAUAGGCACAUGUUGGCUCGAAUGGUUAUUGUUGAUGAUCAACCAUUUUCUAUUUUAGAGAAAGAAGGCUUUAGUGGUUUUGUGACA